rnacentral:rRNA from 1 species
UACGUAGGGGGCAAGCGUUACCCGGAUUUACUGGGCGUAAAGCGCGUGUAGGCGGCUGGCCAAGUGUGGUGUGAAAUCCCCCGGCUCAACCGGGGAACUGCAUUGCAAACUGGUCUGGCUAGAGUGCAGGAGAGGGAAGUGGAAUUCCCGGUGUAGCGGUGAAAUGCGUAGAGAUCGGAAAGAACACCAACGGCGAAAGCACUCUGCUGGGCCGACACUGACACUGAGAGACGAAAGCUAGGGGAGCGAAUGGG